UACGUAGGGUGCGAGCGUUAAUCGGAAUUACUGGGCGUAAAGCGUGCGCAGGCGGUUCGUUGUGUCGGUGGUGAAAGCCCCGGGCUUAACCUGGGAAUGGCCAUGGAAACUGGCGAACUGGAGUGUGGCAGAGGGGGGUGGAAUUCCGCGUGUAGCAGUGAAAUGCGUAGAUAUCUGGAGGAACACCGGUGGCGAAGGCGGCAUCCUGGACCAAUUCUGACGCUGAUGAGCGAAAGCCAGGGGAGCAAACGGG
rnacentral:rRNA from 1 species